rnacentral:misc_RNA from 1 species
GAUGAAGAACGUAGCGAAAUGCGAUACUUGGUGUGAAUUGCAGAAUCCCGUGAACCAUCGAGUCUUUGAACGCAAGUUGCGCCUCAAGCCAUUAGGUUGAGGGCACGUCUGACUGGGCGUCACAUAUCGUUGCCUGAUGCCAGUUUCCUCGUGAUGGGUGACUGUGCAGGGCGAAUGAUGGCUUCCCGUGAGCAUUGUUGCCUCAUGGUUGGUUGAAAAUUGAGUCCUUGGUAGGGAGCGCCGUGAUAGAUGGUGGUUGAGUGACGAACGAGACCCAAUCAUGUGAGACCCCUACCGAAUUUGGCCUUCAUGACCCACAUGCGUCUUUGGAACGCUCAUGACGAGACCUCAGGUCAGGCGGGGCUACCCGCUGAGUUUAAGCAUAUCAAUAAGCGGAGGA